rnacentral:rRNA from 1 species
UACGUAGGGUGCAAGCGUUGUCCGGAAUCAUUGGGCGUAAAGCGCGUGUAGGCGGCCCGAUAAGUCCGCUGUGAAAGUCCAGGGCUCAACCCUGGAAUGCCGGUGGAUACUGUCGGGCUCGAGUCCGGAAGAGGCGAGUGGAAUUCCUGGUGUAGCGGUGAAAUGCGCAGAUAUCAGGAGGAACACCGAUGGCGAAGGCAGCUCGCUGGUCCAUUACUGACGCUGAGGCGCGAAAGCGUGGGGAGCAAACAGG